AUUGAACGCUGGCGGAAUGCUUUACACAUGCAAGUCGAACGGCAGCACGGACUUCGGUCUGGUGGCGAGUGGCGAACGGGUGAGUAAUGUAUCGGAACGUGCCCAGCCGUGGGGGGUAACGUAGGGAAAAUUACGCUAAUACCGCAUACGAUCUAUGGAUGAAAGCGGGGGAUCGCAAGACCUCGCGCGAUUGGAGCGGCCGACAUCAGAUUAGGUGGUUGGUGGGGUAAAGGCCCAGCAAGCCAACGAUCUGUAGCUGGUCUGAGAGGACGACCAGCCACACUGGAACUGAGACACGGUCCAGACUCCUACGGGAGGCAGCAGUGGGGAAUUUUGGGCAAUGGGCGAAAGCCUGAUCCAGCCAUUCCGCGUGCAGGAUGAAGGCCCUCGGGUUGUAAACUGCUUUUGUACAGAACGAAAAGGUUUCUACUAAUACUAGGAGCUCAUGACGGUACUGUAAGAAUAAGCACCGGCUAACUACGUGCCAGCAGCCGCCGCUG
rnacentral:rRNA from 1 species